GUUCCAGUUGCAAUAUUGCUGUAGUAAUAGAAGUUUGAUUAUGGCUCAGAUUGAACGCUGGCGGGAUGCUUUACACAUGCAAGUCGAACGGCAGCACGGACUUCGGUCUGGUGGCGAGUGGCGAACGCGGGUGAAAAUCAGCAUCAUAUCGGAACGUGCUAGUAGCGGGGGAUAACUACGCGAAAGCGUAGCUAAUACCACAUAUGCACGCCCUUCGGGGAAAAGCGGGGGACCUUCGGACUGCUUUCAUUAAGGCUGACCGAUAUCAGUUGGCUAGUUGGUGGGGGUAACGGCUCGCAAGGCGACGAUCCGUAGCUGGUUUGAGAGGACGACCAGCCACACUGGGACUGAGACCUGGCCCAGACUCCUACAGGGAGGCGGCAGUGGGGAAUUUUGGUUAGUGGAAACCUGGUCCAGCCAUCCCGCGUGUGCGAUGAAGGCCUUCGGGUUGCGAAAGCACUUUUGGCAGGAAAACAGCACGGGAUAAUACGUGCAACUGACCAGUACCUGCAGAAUAAGCACCGGCUAACUACGUGCCAGCAGCCGCGGUAAUACGUAGGGUGCAAGCGUUAAUCGGAAUUACUGGGCGUAAAGCGUGCGCAGGCGGUUCGGAAAGAAGAUGUGAAAUCCCAGAGCUUAACUUUGGAACUGCAUUUUAACUACCGAGCUAGUGUCAGGAGGUCGAUUCACUAAUGUGCGCCGUGAAAUGCGUAGAUAUGCGGAGGAACACCGAUGGCAAGAAGGCAGCCUCCUGGGAUAACACUGACGCUCAUGCACGAAAGCGUGAGACAACCGGAUUGAUACCCUGGUGAUCCACGCUUCCCUAAACGAUGUCAACUAGCUGUUGGGGCCUUCGGGCCUUGGUAGCGCAGCUAACGCGUGAUGUUGACCGCCUGGGAGUACAGUCAUAAGAUUAAACUCAAAGGAAUUGACGGGGACCCGCACAAGCGGUGGACGAAGUGGAUUAAUUCGAUGCAGCAGCGAAAAGGCAUGCCACUACCACCUCCUUGACAUGUCUGGAAUCGAGAGAUUUGGGAGUGCUCGCAGAGAACCGGAACACAGGUGCUGCAUGGCUGUCGUCAGCUCGUGUCGUGAGAUGUUGGGUUAAGUCCCGCAACGAGCGCAACCCUUGUCAUUAGUUGCUACGAAAGGGCACUCUAAUGAGACUGCCGGUGACAAACCGGAGGAAGGUGGGGAUGGCUGCGUCAAGUCCUCUGGCCCUUAUGGGUAGGCUUCACACGUCAUACAAUGGUCGGGACAGAGGGUCGCUUCAACCGCGAGGAGCCAAUCCCAGAAACCCGAUCGUAGUCCGGAUCGCAGUCUGCAACUCGACUGCGUGAAGUCGGAAUCGCUAGUAAUCGCGGAUCAACAUAACUCUUUGAUGAAUACGUUCUCCCGGGUCUUGUACACACCGCCCGUCACACCAUGGGAGUGGGUUUUACCAGAAGUAGUUAGCCUAACCGUGGAGGGCGAUUACCACGGUAGGAUUCAUGACUGGGGUGAAGUCGUAACAAGGUAA
rnacentral:rRNA from 1 species